AUUCCUUUAGUAUAAAAAGUAUAUUUAACUUCCAAUUAAAAGGUUUAAAAUUUAAAAGGAAUA
rnacentral:tRNA from 2 species